UCGUUUAACUUUUAACACUGUCUUUAAGUUAGUCGACUAACAUAAAAGUUAGUCGAUUAACUUUUAACACUGUUUUUGCAUAAUUUUCAGAAUUAAAACAUGAUUUUCAACAAGCAUCUUAAACAAGAAAACAUGUUGUCUACCAACUAAAAUCAUGCUAAAUACAAUGUUUUAAUUCAAGUAAAGAUAACAUGAUAUUAAAACAUCAAAUUUCAACAAAACAUAACAUUCGUAAAAUCAUGCUAUAUCAUGG
rnacentral:lncRNA from 1 species